rnacentral:tRNA from 2 species
AGGGGCUUAGGCUAAUAUUAAACCAAGGGCCUUCAAAGCCCUAAAUAAGGGUGAAACUCCCCUAGCCCCUG